CACGAGUGAACGCUGGCGGCAGGCCUAACACAUGCAAGUCGAGCGGCAGCACAGCCGUAGCAAUACGGUGGGUGGCGAGCGGCGGACGGUGAGG
rnacentral:rRNA from 1 species